GUCCAGGAUCUCCAUGUUUGUCUUGGGACCUUAUGAGUGGAGGAUCACCCAACUUGCAUAUAUUUGAGGACACCCAUGGCUGGACUCAGCUUUAAAAGUUCUUAUCUGAGAUUACCUGGGGAACAGAGUUCCAUCAAAGCCAGUUCCAAAAGGCCUAUGUAGAAAGAAUUAUUCUUGCUGCCCUUUAUGCAGGUAAGCUGGCCAAGUACGUGACUAAAGUCUAUUUUGCAAACCAUUCAGUCCUAUGGGGAUUUUUUUUAACAAAAGUGAGGAUGGGAGAGAGAGGAAUAAUGUUCCAAAACUUAUCAUACAUUUGUCAUUAAAUUCUAAACUCAUUAGUCGUUUUUAAGUUUUUGCCUAAAUUUUAGACUAACUCUGCUUGUUCCUCUGAACCUACCAGCAAUCUCCAACUGCAGCUCCGAAAGAACAAGAGGGAUGGAUAAUGUAAAAUUCUGGAUGCGUAUUCUAGUUCUGAAUGAUUAUUCUGCAAAUCUUUCCAGGCCACCAAACUCCAGACAGUCACGCAGCCAGAGUCUCUGAGGAUGGCCACUUCUGCUGGCAACCCUUAGGCCUCAGAGAAAGCUCUGAUUGCUCUUUCCCCAAAACAGCACCCACUGUCAGUAGAAAGCAGUUAAUUAGGAUCCGUCUUCAGGCCUACUAGGUGGCUUACACCUGUAAUCCAGCGCUUUGGGAACCCAAGGCUGGCGGAUCACUUGAGGUCAGGAGUUUGAAACCAUCCUGGUCAAUAUGGCUAAACUCUGUCUCUACUAAAAAUACAAAAAUUAGCCAGGCAUGGUGGUUUAUUCCUGUAAUCCCAGCUACUCUGGAGGCUGAGGUAGGAGAAUUGAACCUGGGAGGUGGAAUUGCAGUGAGCCGAGAUCGUUAUAUUGCACUCCAGCCUGGGCAAGAGAGGGAGACCCUGUCUCAAAAAAAAAAAAAAAGAUCGGGUCUGUCUUUCUCCUUAUUCUAAUGGCAGUUAGAUGGACUUCUUUAGAGGUGGGAAUGAGACAGCCGGGUGGGAGGGAGUCCUCCACCAGCCUGCAUAUUGGGGUGGGGCUUCGGGAAGUUCGUGCCUUUUGCAGUGGAGAGGACCUGGCCCCUCCUUUCCCAUGUAACCUGGGAUUCAAUCUGUGAGGCAGGAAGCACAGCAGCAGGGACUCUGGCUUUGCAGAGGGUCCCUGUUUCUCCUUUUCUGCCUUUUUGCCCAAUAAAACCCUGCAUUACUCACCCUUCA
rnacentral:lncRNA from 13 species